rnacentral:misc_RNA from 1 species
CUUUGAUUCUAGUUAGUAGGUGGGAUCUUGAACUAAGAAAUUGAGUCUAGAAGCUUAAAAAUGGUAUCUUGAUUCUCUCUUAUCACCUUGGAGUUUCGCUUAUAUGCAGUCUCUUCUCUACAAUCACAGUAUAACUCCAUUGCCUUAAAAACCAUCUUUAAAAACUAUCUUUAUCCCGUAACAUGGGUCAAAAAUAAACAAAGUUUGAUUUAGUGCUUGGCCUUAUGCAGACAUGCAUGCGGUUGCAUUGGAGAAUGUGUUGGAAACAAGACUGAAAGCAGUAUUUAUGAACUGCUGCUGAAAUGAGAUGGGCGAUGCCUUGAAACCCACGAACA